rnacentral:rRNA from 1 species
AUAGGAAAUUUAAGGGCGUACGGUGGAUGCCUUGACUCCAAGAAGGUGAUGAAGGACGUGGCUUGGCGGCGAUACGCUUCGGGGAGGUGCCUAGCAACCUUUGAUCCGGAGAUGUCCGAAUGGGGGAACCCGUCCCGACGUAAUGUCAGGACACCCCGCCAACUAGGCGGGGAACGCACCCAGUGAAGUAAAACAUUUCAGUAACUGGAGGAAAAUAGAACAAUUGUUAUUUCGUUAGUAGCGGCGAGCGAAAACGAAACAGCCCAAACUUAGUUUCAUUCUCACGAUGCGUAUGGUCGUGUUGUGGGAAUGAUACUGAGGGUCAUAAGGUGGUAAUGUCUCAACUUCGGUUGAGAGGAGAGUUAAAAAAUAUCUGGUUAGGUGAAGCUUCUGGAAAGCAGCACCCUAGAGGGUAAUAGUCCCGUAACCGAAAAUCAGAUAUCUCUUCCGUUACCGUUCUUGAGUAUCUCGAGACAUGAAUAGCUCGGGAGAAUUUGCCGGGACUAACCGGUAAGGCUAAAUACUCUUGGAGAUCGAUAGUGAACUAGUACCGUGAGGGAAAGGUGAAAAGCAGCCCGGGAGGGCAGUGAAAUAGACCUGAAACCAUAUGUCUACAAGGAGUCGAAGAGGGCGCAAGUCCUCGACGGCGUGCCUAUUGAAGAAUGAGCCAACGAGUUUUAGCAUGCUGCGCGGCUAAGCGCCUAUAAAGCGUGGAGCCAUAGGGAAACCGAGUGUGAAUAGCGCGUUUACCCUGAGAGCAAUCGAAGGGUUAGUAGUAUGCUAAAGACCCGAAGCCAGAGCGAGCUUGUCAUGAGCAGGGUGAACCCCGACGAAAGUCGGGGGGAGGCCCGAACCGUUGAGCCGUGCAAUACUCUCGGAUGACUUGUGAUAAGAAGUGAAAAGCUAAUCGAGCCUGGUAAUAGCUGGUUCUCUCCGAAAUAACUUUUGGGUUAGCGUCGAGUGUUUCCAUUGGUGGUAGAGCACUGGAAGGUUUGGACAGGCCGAAAGGUCGCUGGACCUAUCAAACUCCGAAUACCGAUUGGUCAGAGCUCGGCAGUUAGACUCCGGGGGCUAAGCUCCGGUGGUCAAAAAGGAAACAGCCUAGAUCUCUAUUUAAGGUCCCUAAAUUCAUGCUAAGUGCACUUAAGGAGGUGAAAUUUCUCCGAUACUGAGGAGGUUGGCUUAGAAGCAGCCAUCCUUUAAAGAAAGCGUAACAGCUCACUCAGUCAGAGAUUUUGCACCGCAGAUUCAUGGGGCUAAGCAUGGUACCGAAACUGAGGAUUUCUUCCCGCUUUGGCGGGAGGGAGUGGUAGGAGAGUAUUCGCAUCUGCACUGAAGGCGAAGGGGUGACCCACGCUGGAGCGUUGCGAAGUAAGAAUGUUGGCACAAGUAACCACAAUGCGGGUGAGAAACCCGCACGCCGAAAGAACAAGGUUUCCCUCUCAACGUUUGUCGGAGAGGGGUUAGUCGGCCCUAAGGGAAUGGUGAGAACCGCACCCGAUGGACACACGGUUAAUAUUCCGUGACUGUUUUUGCAAGUGAUGGGAGGACGAAGAUGAGUAUGUAUCGCGCAUUAUCGGAUUUGACGUCCGUGCUUUAAGGAAGUGUACGAGGAAAAACCCGGACACUAGCUUUGAUGCUGAUUCCAAGAAGAGCGGAAAUGCCCCGACUCGUCGGGGCAAAUGAUACAAAGCCAUCUUCCAAGAAAAUUCUCUAAACUUAUUGCAAGAGCAACCGUACCGCAAACCGACACAGGUGUUCAGCUCGAGUAGAGCAAGGCGAACGAGUGAGACGUCCCCAAGGAACUCGGCAAAAAAGCAGCCGUAACUUCGGAAUAAGGCUUGCCCUAUUUUUAUUAAUGGGGCCGCAGCUAAAGUAUCUCUGGCAACUGUUUACCAAAAACACAGCUCCCUGCGAACUCGCAAGAGGAUGUAUAGGGGGUGACACCUGACCAAUGCCAGAAGGUCAAACACGGGGGGUCUUAUUAUCUUCGGAUAAAAAGGCUGGACUGUGUAAGCCCUGGUGAAUGUCGGCCGUAACUAUAACGGUCCUAAGGUAGCGAAAUUCCUUGUCUGGUAAGUUCAGACGCGCACGAAUGGUGUAAUGACUGGAGAACUGUCUCGAGGAUUUGCUCGGUGAAAAUGCGAUACCGGUGAAGAUGCCGGUUAGGUGCAGUUAGACGAAAAGACCCCGGAAGCUUUACUGCAACUUGUUAUUGGCUUUACGUUUUAGAUGCGU